CCACGAAGAUGAUAGCACUUUGAACUCUCUCUUUCUGAGUUGACAGUGGAGAGAACCUCACUGGCUGAGUGGC